rnacentral:rRNA from 1 species
UACGUAGGGUGCAAGCGUUAAUCGGAAUUACUGGGCGUAAAGCGUGCGCAGGCGGUUUUGUAAGUCUGAUGUGAAAUCCCCGGACUCAACCUGGGAAUUGCAUUGGAGACUGCAAGGCUAGAAUCUGGCAGAGGGGGGUAGAAUUCCACGUGUAGCAGUGAAAUGCGUAGAGAUGUGGAGGAACACCGAUGGCGAAGGCAGCCCCCUGGGUCAAGAUUGACGCUCAUGCACGAAAGCGUGGGGAGCAAACAGG